rnacentral:lncRNA from 1 species
UGCGUAGAAUUAAUGAAGGAAUACCAGGAGCAGUUGAGGAGUAAAUUCUAUUGUUCCCCAGAAUGAUGAUAACUGAAUACUGCAAAGAGUUUGAGCCUCCAGUUUGUCCACCGAGCCCAAUGUAUGGUCUAGAUCCAGGAAAUCUCAAUCCAUUGAAAAAACCCUUUUACCACAACCUUCGAAAUUUUAUCACUGAUGUUCCAAUUGUCCCACCAACUAUUCCAAUGGAGAUUUGGGGUCAAAUUCUGAUGAGGAUGAUGCAUGCACUUGCUUGAAUGAAAAUAUGUCUACUGUUAGUCAGGAUCAGAAUUUGCCGUUAGCUGGCUUUGAUUAUGAAGCUCAUCAUGAGACGUCCCCUUGUGAGCUAUGCCAGCAUGCAAUGUUCUUUGUAGGACCUCUGAUGAAGAAUCCAAACACAACAUUCGAGCAAGUGAACAAUGCUCUAACUAAUUCAUGCAAAAUUUCAAAGGAGAGAGAUGGAACAAGUAAGCUUUAAUUUUUUGUCGCAUUUAUCAUUUCUUCGCCCUUGAAAGAGAAAGAAACCAAACCUACAGCUAUUGAAUUUAAAAAAUCCAACAAUGUCAUCAUAGCAAUUAAUGAUUACGGAUUUCAACAAGCAAUGUAUAGAUUCUCAAGUUAGACUCAGGCUGAACUGAUUCAAUUUAAGAGAGGCUAACCGUUUGCAUAAUUCUAAUUAUACAUCCAAAUAAGUAUUUAAAGCAUGAGAAAAACUCAUGCCCAGCCAAAGUAUGUUGCAACGGUUUGUAAUACAAUUGUCAGAUGCUUUUAUUUUUGUGCUGUAAGAAACUUAAAUGAUUAAUCCAUUUGUUCUUAUUCUAAUAUUUAAUUGAAUGCUCCCUUGCAGUGUCAGAAAUUGAUCGACGAAAAUAGGUAUUACAUGGAAGCUAAACUUUUCAGUACGCCGAGAACUCCGUUUUAUGAAGUGUGUUAUGUCAUGACAGACCCCCUUUGCUCUGGUGCUUACAUGAACAAACGUUUAAGGAACAUACUUAUGGACUUAUUUUUAGCCGAAUUCCCGAAAAAUUUCCAAGGCAAUGCAGAAGCAUUCGAAUUUGCACGUGAAGUAUCAGAACUUGUGGCAACAGUUUUAUUCUUCAGGGAGGAUUUGUACUCCAACAUUGGAAACUCUAGUUUUGCAGAAGCUUCAACGACAGAAGGAACAACCAUUGAUUAUGAUUACAAUGAUGAUAAUAAAACUUCCAGCACUUCAGAACCAGGAGAUGAAAAAGAUGGGACGUUGUGUGAAAUUUGCAAUGAAGUUGUUCAAAGAGUCAAGCCUUACAUACAAAUUCCAAUUUUACAACGAUUCCUACGUUCAGAAAUUGAUAAGUCCUGCUAUCAUGUCCAACCUCUUCUCUUUUCAAAGUGUUUACAAUUUGUCGCAAACUAUGGCAACAUGCUUCAUGAAACUGCAUUGUACGACAUAAGCAGAUAUGUGGAUGACAUUUGUACCUUAACUGAACCCAGUUCUGUCCUUCAAACUCAGCUCCAUAUAGUUCAAUCAAUAACAGCAGUGAGUGGCACAGCAUAGAGGACCAUCGAGAUGUUGACAGAGAAGAUCAGUCAAACCUAAAAAACGUAGCAAAAGAUGAAACUAGUACAGAAUUUGACAGUAAAAAAAAAGCACUGG